AUGCCUGCUAUUGUAAAAAAGUCAACAGCAGGUCUGAAACGACACAUGAACCAGAGGGUUGUGCACCUUUGUCCAUUUUUUACUGGUUCUAAUCCGACACUCAUAUAUUCCUGUAUCGUUGAUGUUGACAUUCUUCAGAGUCACAGAAACAUCUCCGUUUUUCAUAGACGGGUCUGUCAGCUCCACUCGGCCUUUAAAACGCACAUGCUGGUAGUUUUCGGAUGUGCGCCCGUUUCGGUAGAAGAAGACGUAUCCGUCUCUCUUAAUCUCAGUUCCAGUAAGAUAGUGGUGGGGGAACUCCAGACAAGAUUAAAGACCUGGCAAAUAACAAUUUCUGUCUCCAGCUCCGAGGAUUUUCUCCACCUGUAUACUCCUACGAGAGCACUGGGAUCAUCAGGCCAAUUGCUCUUGGUGCAACCUAGGUUACGGCUAAAGACCAGAGGUCCUCUGGAACAAUCUCCCCGAAGCUAUUCGCACGUCCCGUUUCCUUUCCGCUGCAAACAAGCUGCUAUUACCCAUAUGGAAAAGAUAUAUAUAAAUCUUAUAAAGUUUGUAUCUGUCUUGUGUGAAACUUGUAUGAAAAGCAUACAAGAGUGAAAACAGAUAUAAGAUCCCUUGAAAAAUUAUAUAAAUGAAACUUGUAUGUUUUGGAUACUUACUAAAACAGUAUAUGAAAGUAAUGAGAAAGUGGCCACUUUCAUGAGUAAAUCAUAUAAGUUUUUACUAUUUCUUUUCCAUAUGGGUAAUGUUUACCUUUGAACAGCUGUUAAAAAAAAAAAACGUGCUCAAAAAAAUUGUGAGUCACAGCAUUUGGCAGACUGCCAGCAGCUUUUUAAUCUACUCACCUUCUAAUGCCGCAGUCUCAAAAGUCAGAAGAAGAAGAAGAAGAAUGUGAGACAUUUCUGUUGAAUAACUCACAACUGACCCUCCUGAAGCUGCUGGAAACUUGAUUUGUGUAAAUCUGGUGUCGUGCCAAGCAGUCUGAGGCAAGGGGCAGUCUGCUGCGUUCAGGGACACACCCACCUGAACUACAUCAGCCGUCACAGCGUGGUUUCAACCCUGAAGCUGCACUCAAUGUUUCUCUCUCUUGUUUUUGUUGUUUUUGUAGGAGAAAGCGCAAAGUGCGCACGGGAAAGUGCCUCGAGCCCACAUUCACGACACCCUAAAUGAUCAAAAAAUACAAAAAUGAUGUUUUGUAUUGUUUAAUUGUUGUUUUUUUAAAUUUAUUAUUCCACUGUAGAGGCUGUAGAAAUAAUAUCUGCUUUCCAUCUGUGUAUUUUUGUAAAUAUCUUGUGUAAUGACAAUGAACCUUAUUGAAUCUUCAGUGUAAAUCAGUAACCAGCAGUGAGAGGAUGGAUGCCAGAUUAUCUUACCUGCCAUUCAACAUUUAGGCAACAAAGUUAACUUAUAAUGGCUCAAACAGAGCUCACUGGCUGCCCUCUAUUGUUCGCCAGCGGUCACUGCAGGUUUAAUUCUUACUCAUAAUGAUCAAAACGUUUAACUAACACCGCACAAGAUGAACUGGCAUGUAAUAAACAGUCGUCGGCAGCAGUUUUACAACCUGAAAAUUAAAAACCUGUCAAAAUGAUGCAUUCAGGCAAGGAGGAAAAAGAGCUCACUCUCCAGGCUACACGAAUGACAUCAGAGGAUACCUGCUGUUUACUCUUUAAGUGUUCACUUUUAAAAGGCUUCACUUAAAAUCAAGCUCUUCUACAUGUGUGGUAGUAGAGAAAAAAAUAUGAACAGUCGGGAUGUCUCGGAUUCUGGGCGUGGAGUGAAACGAACUCACCUGUUAACUGUGUUUUGCUUCCUGGGAUAAAACCGCCCCUUCGCAAUCAUGUGUGCGGACGACUGUCACACGGACAUCCAUGAGGGAAAAAAGGAAUGAAAAGCAAAACACUCAGUUUAAAUCAGUGACUGUAGAAAACAUGGAAAUUGUCCAUGUUCCACUGUUUAAAAAUUGAUAACAAAACCCUAAGAAGUGCUGAAUCAUUCAAUAAUACAGACUAUUAGAAUAACAGGUGUGUCGCAUCGGUAACUAGCUAGCAACAAGCCCCCAACACAUUGCAUAUGCUAGCGGCUAAUCUAGCAAACAAAUUAAUGACAGAGUGAUUUUAGAUGUUUUAGAACUAUAAGAUGAUAAACUGUGUGUCUUUUUCAUAACAGUGACAUGGUUGUAUUUACCGUAAUUGAACGAGUUGUCAAGUGCGGUAAACCCAUCAACAAAUAAACUGGAGCAGCCGGGGGUUAAAUAAAAAGUGUAGCGGGGCGUGUUUACAGGCAUGUCCGGCGGGAGCGUGACGCAGUCGCUCCACCUCAAGUCACUACUGAGCAGAAAUGCAAGAUGGCAGCCUCCACAAGCGGGGUAUUUUGGCUUCAUUUUUGCACAAUGGGAGGAGGUGCUGUCGUGUCGUCCAUGUUUUCUACAGUCAUUGGUUGUGAUGGUCACUGUAGUGGCUAUAUUAAUUUCUUAAGUUCUCUCCUUAUCUUAUACUUAAUGGGUUUGUUAAAAAUCACUACCAUUUCAGCUUGUUCGUGGCCAAAAGUGGCCACCAACAGAUUAGGUCUGUAAUUUUUAUUAUUUUUAUGUUGUUGUUGUUUUUGCCAUUUGUUCUGCAUAAAAAAAGCUUUUAACUAACUUCAGUUCUUUUCAUAAAUAUAAAAUAGUUUUUACUUUUUAAAUUUUUAAAUUUUUAACCAGUUUAUUUGUCCACUGCACUAGCUUUAAGACAACCUCAAAUCUCACAAUUUUAUAUAAUUGCAGUACUACUGGAAUUUCAUGUAUUAUUAAUAGUAGAGUCUGGGACAUGUAAUUGAUUCACAUCAACAUUGAUUAUAAUGCAUUGUUAUUUUUGUAGAGAGCAAAAACAUAAAAACUCCCUCUCAGCUUGUUUGUGGCCAAAAAUGGCCACCCCCUGUUUACUUUUACAAAAUGCUAUAAAAUUAAUAUAUUAAAAAAAAAUCCACUUUCAUUGACUUAAUUUUUUAAAUUAGUAUCAGUGCUGUUCAUGAAAAUCAAAAUUUCAUUCAAAUUCAGAAUUUUAACCCUUUAAAUACCAGUUAAA
rnacentral:lncRNA from 1 species